GCCAGGCAGCGCAGAGGGAGGUGCCACAGAGAACCCGGCAACCACAGGGCAGACCCUUCCCCUCCACGGGGCCCCCAUGGCCGACACACCCUGGACGAAGCCAGCAGGAGUGAGGUUGCCUCUGGGGUCUGUGGGCCCAGGUGCUACCCGACAUGGUGGGACCCCGUUGCUCCCACACUCCUGGGGCAGCUGGGACAGCCGCUGUGACCUUCCCGCCUCAGAGGGGCUGUGCCCACCAGGCUGGGUAAACCUGUGACUGCUCAUCCUCCUGGAAGGAGGACAUCACCCUGCCACCAGCUUCAGCAACAAACACAGAAGACAACAGCUGUGACUGCAGCCUCUCCUGACACCCGGGAAGAGCUUCCCGAAGGCAGCGCGCCCAGUGCUUUGUGGAUGUUUGUGGAGAAGAUCAAAUAAAUGGUGGCCCUUUGAGACCUCAGCUGCGGUGCUGGGCAGAACAUCAGAGAAG
rnacentral:lncRNA from 1 species